AUUUAUAAGGCAAAAAGGCGAGAUUAAAUUAGGUCCAUCUUCUCGAAAUGCAUAUCCUUAAUCUUAGUUCUGGUUUCUUGUGUUUACUCCUCAUUUCAUACCAAACAUCUGCCAAUGCAUUGUGCGAGUGGUCUGGAUGCGGUAAGCCAUGUUCGAAAGAUGUUAAAACCCAGGCGAAAACAAGAGACGGAUGUCGUGGCUUGGACGAGAAAUCAAAGUGUUGCAUUGACAACCCAGUCGUUUGUGAGUCUACUGGAUGCGAUCACGAAUGCCAGCGUGAUACGAUAACACUAACAACGACAAGCGACGGCUGUCGUGCUUUCGACACAAAGUCAAAGUGCUGCAUACACGCGCCGGCAUCCUGUGAGUGGACGGGAUGUGGCGACCAAUGUAACAGUGGAACAAUUACACUGGCUGUUAGUGGAGAUGGUUGCAGUGGCUUUGAUACCAGAUCGAAAUGUUGUGUUCGUUGGCGAAAUGCGACAUGUGAAUGGAGUGGCUGUGGCUAUAGUUGUCCGAGUGAAACGACAACGCUGGCCACAUCGGGUGCAAAUUGUAGAGGUUUUGACAAACGGUCGUAUUGUUGCCUACAGGGCAUUUAUGACUGUAAGUUUGGUGGUUGUGGUAGCAAUUGUCCAACGGGAACACAAGUUUUAGCCGAAACUAAUAUGAAUUGCAGAAGUUCAUUUGAAACGAGGAAAAUGUGUUGCAGGCCACGAAACAUCCGAUAUUCAAAUGUCGUCGGAUAGAGAUUUUAGAGAAAACUGCGAGAUGAAUAAAUAUUGAACAACAUUUGCA